UUGUGUAACUACUAGAAGUUUGAAUGGAAGGUGGAAUAAAAGUGGUUCCGUCCACCUAAAAUCUGCUAUUCAAACUUUUGUCGUAUAAGCAUCGACACUAGUAUAAAUAAAAGAAAAUGCAAAGAAAGCUCUAGUCAGACUGAGUAACUUAGAAAGAUCUCAAAAUAAUGGAUCUACAUGUUCUCCAAACCACGGUAGUUAAUGCAUUAAAGAGCUUCAUGGACGAAACUCUUCCUGCCGUCCAUAAUUCGAUUUCCCAGUUGAGCCGCGUGGAGGACCUUCAAACUGCUUUGACACAUCUUCGUAGUCUCAAGACUUUGGUCACCAACCCCGAAAAUUUUGAUGGGGUUCUUAAUCAAGAAGCAACUGACCGUUUGGAUUUUGAGAGAGGGCGUGUAAGACAACGGAUUGAUCGAUUACGUGCAAGGCUUGAAUCUCUUAACGAACUUAUUAUCAUGGGGCAUAACCAUGCUUUGAAUAUGGAGCGUGUUGUGUCUCGUCUCAAUGGAAUUGAUAUAGACACAGAUCCGGCUGGUAUUCUUGGGGCUCCAGUUGUUUAGACAAAUAAGUUCAUUUGGGUGCACUCCUAGCUUCUCCAUUUCAUUCGUUUAUAAAGGGAUGUGCAUGCAAAUCACUUAAUUAGCUGGAUGAGCCUACGUCAAUUUCAUUUGGCAUGGGCCUUAUGUGCCAAGUCUCUUUGAGCGACAAUAUUAUAUGCAAAAGCAGAUAAGACCGCGUAUAUUCUUACCUAUUGGUUUUUAUAACUUUAUAUUCUAGAAGCCAUCCACGUGAUAGUAUUGCUGUAUAUAUGCACUGCAUUUAUAUAAUUUUUCAGGUAACUUGGAUACUGUCAUAUUUUAUGAAGAGAAUUUGCACUCCAUUUUCACUCCAAAAUUACAAGAAAAUAUACUUUGGAGUGAAUAUUAUAACCAGGAUCGGCUUAGGUAUAGGGGCAAGGGAAACAUGGACCUUGAGCCCAAAUUUGUUUUUGCAUAAUUAGUAUUAAAAAGAAUCUGAUUUUUACAAAAAUUAAGAAAAGAGAUCUAACUUUUUUAAAUUAUCUAUAAAAUAUAUGCAAUUUUUUUUGAGAAACUAUUUUGUGAAGGACCUAUAAUUUACUUGAGCCGGCCCUGAAUAUAAUGUACUAAAAAGUAAUUCAACUAAGAGGUUAAAAUAGACACUAUGGGAGUAAUUAUCCGGCUGUGAAUAAUUAUGUUCACCUUAAUGCCUUGGUGAAAAUUAGAGUUAAGCACGUUGUGGACUUUCUAUGUUAAUAUAUUGUUCAGUUGACUUUACAUAAUUGUAAGCAUGUUUGGUUAAAAAAAAUCUAAAAAGUAUGAGAAUAUUUGUUACAUUGAAACCCAAAGCGUAGAGUUUCUAGAAUGGGUCUUUGUCCUUAGUUUUAUAUUUUAGGGCAAUUUUCUUUCAUUUGGAUUUUUUUGUUGUGACCGUUUGGUGGACUCGUUCAUAAAAUAUCUUAUUUUAUAUAUAAAGUAGAGUUGUGUUCUGCACACAGCCCUCCACCCAGAGCCGGUCCUAGAAUUUGAAAGGCCGGAUGCAAAAAUAAAAAUGUGGCCACUUUUAUAAGGAAAAAAAAACAUAAAGAAAAAAUAGAUAGUGAAAUUGUGGUCACUGGGUGUCGAACCCUUAUUCUGAUGAAAAUGUGGACAAGAGUUAACCACUACACUAAAGAAAACAUUUAUGAAAUGUGGCCAAAUUUAGUUAAUAAAAUACACGGCCGCAAGCGGGUGCUUCGUUGGCUUCAUGCAAGGGCCGGCACUGCGGCUCCACCUCAUCAAGGAGAUAGGGGCAAAUCGUGCUACGGCAGCAUAUCUUUUUUAAAGUUUUCUGCUGUGUGUUUUGUUAUAAGAGCAUCACUCGAGAGUAAUGAUAAUGGGCUUUGCGUAAACAUUUAACGGCCCAAAUAGAACUAACCUAAUUCGACAUUCUCGACCACGUCAAGUGCGCUGAUUCUCUCCUUUCUGCAGAAGCUUCUCCGUUCCACAUCCUCUUCCCAUUGAUGUCUCUAAGAAACGUAUGUAGUUAUGCCUUUCAAUCCAUGAUGUCCUAUUUGUAGACUGUGUGUUCCGGUUAAUAUCAUCUUUCCGUUUGCACAAGAUCACUGAAACCCAAACACGCUCACAGUUUACUCAUGAAAUGGCGAAUCAGCAACUGUAAUCGUCUUCGUUUCUGGGAAGCUCCGAAUUUAAAGCAAUGAGAAGAACUCACUGGUGUUGAUAUGGUUUUUGUCAAUGGAAAGUCAAGCAUGAUUCGAGGGUUUAUCAAUGUCCACCGACUCAACUCCUACAAACAUAUCCUAAUAGAAGGAAUUUUUUUUAUGAUUUACGAGCUUAGCCUGUUUGCUGUUACUAGGAACCACCAAAGCUUCAUAUUCGAUGAUGCCCAUGUACCUAUUUGAUUCACUGAUCGGAAAAAAUUGGAAGAGUUGGCAGACAACUUGCAGUGUGGACGAAGAUACGAACUGGAAGAAUGGCUGAGUGGAAGAAUAAUGCUCUGAAUGCUAUUGAAGCAAUCAAAUUGAAUCUUGAUGGUCUUUCCCAUAUUACGGAUAACACUAUGAGCCAUGGACCCCUGAACGAGAUGUUUACUAAUGUGGAGGUGUCGAUCCAUCACUUAAACGAAAUUCUCCAAGCCGCCGGGGUCAACAUUCCGAUUGAAGAUGAUAGCGAUGAAGAUGAUGUUUAGAGAUAUAUUUGACAGUUUGGUUUAAAGUUAUGUUAUUAGACAAAUUAACUUUUAUUUGUUAUGUUUAGUUGCUUAUGAGACGAGUACAUAUGGAAAUAAAAUUGCAACACUAAAUAUAUAAUAAUGAAAUAUUCUGUUGUAAUGAAUAUUAAUAUAUCUCUCUCGAGAAAAGAAAAAACAAAAAAAAAACAAAAGAUUUGUUCCUCCACCUUUUAUCUUCUUCUACUAUCACCCGCUGCGGCGGCUUCUCCUUAAAAACCAAACCUCUCACUUACAACACCAAACUGCCGUAAUCACCUGACUGACUCAACCAUAAAAGGAGGCGCCUUGAUUGAGAAUCCCGUCGAAAGGAAUGAACUUUCGGGGGAAGGAGGGAGGCUGUUUACGCAAGACCCGCCAAAAAUGGUUGAUCAGACUUUGAAAAUCAGAGAGGAAAGAUAUCGACAAGAGAAACUUGGAUGGAGAAGGAGAUGUGCGAGAAGAAUCUGGCUCCCAACUUGCCUUAUGUGAAACUUGGGUUGUGUUUGAAAGUUGUUAGAGAAGGAAGAACAAGAGCAAAAAGGUGCUUAUGCGCCGCCCCCACAUUGAUACGUUUGACUACAGAAGAAGAAAUGAGCUUAGAGAAAGGGCAUUAUCUAAGAUGUGAUGUUGAGCUCAAGCUUUCUGGAAGAUAUCCUCUUGUUAGCUAUCAACAUUUUGUUCCAUCUUCACUUGCUAGCAAAGAUAUAUAGACUGAAUAUAAUAAGUUCAAUCUUGACUUCAGGGGUCGUGCAUACCCCAAUGCAUCCUCAUCUGAGUUCUGAUCUUUGCCGUGGAGUUUGCUCAAGGACGUCCAUUUGGAAAGUCAGGCUUGUAUUGGCUGAAAGUACAUUUAGCAAACCUCUACGCAGGUGGGCGUCUUGCUUACCAUUUGAAUGAUACAAUAGAUUCUGCUGAAAACGAUGGUCGUUGAAGGCUGAGGAUCCUUUUCAGGGCUCAUUCUGGCACAAGCCUUGAAAAGCCCCUUCACCUUAUUCUGUAAUCUCCAACUUGCCUAUUGUAUUAACCUAGCUCUAGACUUUCCUUUUUUGUUUGUUACUAGACAAUUGGUUUCUGUUGGAGACUCUAGUUUGAGAAAUUGGGUUUCACUCUUUGCAUUGAACUGUGAAACAACGCUAGUAACGUUUUCUAUUCA